rnacentral:rRNA from 1 species
AUUGAACGCUGGCGGCAUGCUUUACACAUGCAAGUCGAACGGCAGCGCGGGCUUCGGCCUGGCGGCGAGUGGCGAACGGGUGAGUAAUGCAUCGGAGCGUGCCCAGUAGUGGGGGAUAGCCCGGCGAAAGCCGGAUUAAUACCGCAUACGACCUGCGGGUGAAAGCGGGGGACCGAAAGGCCUCGCGCUAUUGGAGCGGCCGAUGUCGGAUUAGCUAGUUGGUGGGGUAAAGGCUUACCAAGGCGGCGAUCCGUAGCUGGACUGCGAGGACGACCAGCCACACUGGGACUGGGACACGGCCCAGACUACUACGGGAGGCAGCAGUGGGGAAUUUUGGACAGUGGGGGCAACCCUGAUCCAGCCAUGCCGCGUGCGGGAAGAAGGCCUUCGGGUUGUAAACCGCUUUUGUUCGGGAAGAAAUCCUCUGGGCUAAUACCCCGGGGGGAUGACGGUACCGGAAGAAUAAGCACCGGCUAACUACGUG